rnacentral:tRNA from 1 species
GCGGGAAUAGCUCAGUUGGUAGAGCACGACCUUGCCAAGGUCGGGGUCGCGAGUUCGAGCCUCGUUUCCCGAUCCA